GGCGAUCAACCCGUAGAUCCGAACUUGUGUUUUUUAGUUUUGCUAACAUGAGCUCGGCACUCGGGUAGAUCGCCU
rnacentral:pre_miRNA from 12 species